rnacentral:rRNA from 1 species
UACGUAGGGUGCAAGCGUUGUCCGGAAUUAUUGGGCGUAAAGAGCUUGUAGGCGGUUUGUCGCGUCUGCUGUGAAAUCUCAAGGCUCAACCUUGAGCUUGCAGUGGGUACGGGCAGACUAGAGUGUGGGUAGGGGGAGACUGGAAUUCCUGGUGUAGCGGUGAAAUGCGCAGAUAUCAGGAGGAGCACCGGUGGCGAAGGCGGGGUCUCUGGGGCAGUAACUG